GGAGAUUAACUGGAAUGGCCCGUGUGAUGUGAAUUCAUCUAGGGGCACAAGAGAAUCUCUUUUCAUGGAGAUGGCAACAGCACAUAAGUUCCUAAGCUAGCCCAAUGGAGAAUGUGAGACGUCCAUAGCUCAAACCUCCCCAUUGCCUCAGCCAACACCCCCAGACUCAGAGUUGCCUAAGUGACUUGUGGGGACCACAGACACUUGAUGGAGGCCGGCCAAGACAAGAGGAAGCAUUCACUUGAACCCAGCCUCAACUGCUGACCUGCAGAAUCGGAUGAUGCCGAGCCUUGGAUGGUAACCAGGAAGACCAAUAAUGGAAAACACACUUGGAGAGGUGGUAUGUUAUGAAGAAACUUGGGAGUUGUUCAGCCAGCUUCCAGUUUGCUAUUCAUACAGCCAGCCGAGUAUGGAGGAGGCUGGGAGAUGAGUCUAUUCUAAAAUGGAUACCAGGGCAGACCCAGAGACCCCUGGAGAGGAGACACUUACCAGAAGCUGAUCACCACUUGGCAAUGAGGUGACUGUGUUCACAGAAAGAAUUGCUUUACCGACAGCCUUCAGAUGUAAUUUUCCCAGUGAAAAAUCCCCUUGCCAGAGCAGAUGUUCCUUGGAAGAAACACCGAAGUCUUUCAGGAUCCAAGCCCAGUGCAGAGCAUGUAGAAGAUACCCAGUAAAGAUUUCCUGCUUGGUGGAGUGAAAAAAAACACAGCCUUCACCUCUCAUUGCUUGACCGCUGAAGGUCUGGAAAACAAGGAGGCUGUGUGGUCUAGAAAAAAAGAACCUUGGACCUUGGACCUCCUCCCAGGGCUGCUGCUAACCGCACAUGUGACCUUGGGCUUCUCAUUUAACCUCUGGAGAAAGACUCACCGGAUAUAUUCCAUAAACUCUGUUACCCACCUUACUCCAAAGUGACAAAAUUCAGAGGAAACAAGAAAGCCCUCAAUCCCAUUUUAAAUCAUUGACAAUGUUGUGAUAUCAAAGUUGAUGAUCUGGUUUUUGUUGUUUGUUUGUUUUGGUCCUGUGUUCCAGAAGCCUGGAAUCAUUAAGCAGCCAUUCAUUGACGUGGUGCAGUUAAAUUUUUAUCUAGUAAGGAAUGUAGACCAGAAAAGGCCCUGGGACAACCAUAAAGAUUUAUUUGCUUAAUAUAAAUCAGAGAAGCACCUAGAAUUCCAUGUAUGGAAUUGUUUCAUAUCUGAAUCUCGAAAGCCUAUAACACAUCACUAUAGGAACUUCUCUUCUUUAGCUAUGUUGGAGAAAUUAGGAGUCCAAACAAAAGUAGAGAAGUGAACUUCUAAGAUUGUGGCAGUGAUUAUCAUUUGCUCUUGGUAUAUAUGGCUGCCUCUGCUCCCUAUGUCCUGAGCAUUUGUAUUUCAGUAGACAGAAUUUAAGAAGUUAAUGUGUACGUGUUAUGUGUAACUGGGCGACCAUGCUCUAUAGUAGGAAAAAAAUUGUAUUGGGAAAAUAAUAAUUAAAAAAAAAUAAAUUAAUCAAUCUGUUAGUGUUCCCCUGAAUUUUUCCCACUGAUCAACUCAUUAGAAAAAAAAGAACAUUCUUAAAUUUCCUCCAGGGCUUAUCUUUCUUCAUUUAUGAAAUGGGAACAAUAUAACUUGAUCUGGUCUCUAAAACAAUGACUGAACAAAAUGAAACUAAGAAAGUUAUUGUACAAAGAAUCUCUAUAGUGUAAAAUGUCUAACAGAGCUAUGUUAAUGGUAAAAAGAAGCAUUAUGAGGCUGAGGAAUCUGAAGUCCUUGGUUCAAAUACCAGAUCCAGUGCAUCCACAUGCUUGGUUCUGAUCAGCCAGGCAAGUUCAUUAUUUUCUCUGGACUUCCCCUCAAUUAUGCACUCAGAGAAUAAACUCUACUUUUAUCUCACAGUUGUUAGAAUCAGGUCAAAAAAUGCUAAUGUGAAAAUCAGUGAGCUCAGUGACUUGAACCAUUCUUGCCAUUGUUGUUGUGUUAUUGUUGAGAAAUAAAAUAGUGAAAUCAUCCUAGCCCUAGAGGUUUGGGAGAUACUUUGCAUCCAUCCGAGGAGAACAUAGAAACUGAGUAUUCAGGAAAAAUGUAAUUAUAUCUGCAUGAAAAUCUCUUCUUUCAAUCUUUUUCUUAAAAUUUCCAUUUCCUACUCAUUCAUCCUUUGUAAAACCUCCCUUGAAUAUCUGUACUUAUUAAAUGAGUGAAUAAGUAAAUGAAUGAAUUCUACAUGUUGCUUAAGUGAUUUUACUCUGUUUUGAUCGUUUUGCCUAUGUUUGUUGAAUCUAUAUAUAUUGUACCUAUAUAAAGUACAUAGCUAGAUGACAUACUAAGAUAAAGUUAAAAAGACAAAUAAUGAGAAGUCUUGAUGAAGAUGUUGAGCAAUCAGAACUCUUAGACACAGUUCAUGAAGUGUAAAUUGGUACAAACACUUUGAAAAUUGUCUGGGGAAUGUUUGCUACAGCUAAACAUAUGUCUUACCUAGGAACUAGACAUUUUACCACUGGGAAUAAAUACCUCCCCUGAAAUACAUACAUAUGCACACCACACGAGAAUGUUUGUAUUGCAGUAACACAGAUGUAGCUAGAGAAUCUCAUAGUAAGUGAAGUAAGUCAGAAAGAGAAAGACAAAUAUCAUAUGAUAUCACUUUAUGUGGACUCUAAAUUGUG